CGCCCGGCCGUUUUCUUGUUUUUAUGGGAGGUUGAGGAGUGGUUCAGGUGAACUAAUGGCCUUAAUGAUUUUUACUAUUGCUUCAGGUUUGGCUAAAUACAUCUAACCUCUCUGCCUGUUUGUGCACUGCAGUUUCUGUAUAUGCAGAGGACAGGUGUUUUUAGUAUACUAAGCACUUUUCUAAAAUGCAAUUAAUGAUUCAUUCUCAUAUUUAAUCCACUUUAAACAUUCCACCACUGAAAAAAGGUGAAAAGGGAGGAAAAACUUUUUUAUGGAGAAUUACAAUGGAAAUUUCUUCCUGCCUAAAUUAUUAAAAGUUCCAAAUUAGUAAGUCUAAGUUCAUUUUUAUCAUACAUUACAGAAGUGAUCUAAAUCUCAAAAAAAAAAAAAGUCUACAGAUGUUUUAGGCAAUUACCUAUUAUGUAAUGCCUCUUCAAUCAGCCAUAUUUUAUUGCAAGGAAGGGGUCUUAAAAUAGAAAGUUUUGAAAAACAGGGAAUUCUUAUAAGUUUGGCAACCCAAAAAAUUUUAUUUUGGAGCUAUUCAAUGAGAAAAAGAAGAUAAAAGAAUUAAUGUUGUAUAGAGUGAAAAACAAGUUUUGCUUGUGAAAUUUAAGCUUUGGUUUGGUUUCUACGAGGUAGAAAAUAACCUGUUAUAUUUUAUGUGUCAGAGGACAUAAAUUAUGAGUGUUAUAGGCUGUAGGUGACAGACAUACCUGGAAGGUCAACGAGACUCAAGAUCUCUGUUGUCUCAGCAUGCUCCCUCUUCCCAGCCUCCUGUAUGCAAUCAGUCGUCCAGUUCAUCAGUUCUUUCUUCCUCUUGCCUACAGUUCUCAGUUUCCUCCCAUUCACUUUACUCCUGUCCAAGGCCAGCACUUAGGACUUCACACUUGUAUUUCUAAAGUGACCACCACAUCAGCUUCCUGUCUUCAUUGUCUCAUGAACUUCACCACCAAAUAAAAUGUUCCUAAGUUCCAUCUUGGGCAUUUGUUUAACAGCCUUUCUAUAGACCGCUUUGCUUAAUAAUUUAAAAUCUGUACCUUUUUACCCAGCCAGUCAAGUUUCCCCAGGAUCUGGCCCUAACCACCUCUUGAGGUCUAGGUUCUAUUCCUCUCCUUCAUCCUGAGUCUAAUUAUGCAGAUAUCCAAUGAGACAACUGCCCUGGCACCAUCCCAUAGGGGGCACUGAAACACCACUAAUCAAUUAGAAAUACAGCGCCGGUUAACUCAGGUUUCUACCCUCAAACUCCUUACUCAUUGGUAAAAUGUAAACAAGAGCCAUUCCCAUAAAAGCACACAAUAUACCCUGAGCAAAGAGAUCAAGUGCCGGUAUCCACGGAAAUGACCUCUAUCCGUGGUGCGUAUGACUAAUCAUAUCCAAUUAUGAGUGCUUUUUAAAAAAUGAAAGACAAGUCCAAAUAGGUUAAAAUGUCAUGUUGCAUUCCCAGCAUAUAACAGACAUCUUAUUUUGAAAAUAAAGAAAGAACUAUUUGGGUAUACCUAUUUUAUUAAUAGAAAACCAUUCUUUCCUUUACUCUUCCACUAGAAAAUGUCAAAUAUUUAAGGAGUCAAAUGAUUAGCUCAUCAGGGGCACGCACGCAUCUCAGUCCGCCUUCACCCUUGCCAUCUUGUCUCCCUACAGUCCAUGAACACAGCCUGCAUUCUUCCCCUUGCCUAUGCAUAUGCCGUUUCUUCCUCUGGAAUAUCUUCCUUACUUUUCCCUCAGCCACCUGCAAUCCUAACUGUUCUUUAAGAUGCAAGUGAUUUUCUACAUUUUUCCAUAACAUCCUCCUCACUCUCACUAGCCAUUAAGUAGUCUCUGUUACCGCAAAUCCUAUGUUAUCUCUGACAUGAUACCACACUGUCUUUUGUGCCCGUUUUUCUUUUUCAAGAAAAAAUAUACACCUACCUCAUGCCAAACUUUUUUCUAAGAGUCUUAAAUGCAUUUUUCCAUGUAUUCUUCAAAAUAACCUUUGACACUAUUAUUUCCAUUUUCUAGAUGAAUAAACUGAGCUUUAUGGAAAUUAGAUUACUUGCUCAAAGUCAUACAACCAAGAAAAAGCCUGAUUCCAAUCCAAGUGUGUCCAUUUCUGGAGCAUGAGCUCUGACCAUAAUGCCAUAGGGCUUCAGUCUUACUUCCCCAUCCCCAGUGUAAAUUCCUUCAUUACUUGAGGACAAGCACUGUGUUUUGGGUACCUAGGUGCCUCUCCACAGUCCCCAAUAGAGAACCUUUCUGGACCAUAACAGAUACUCAGCAAAGGUAUAUAAAUGAUGGUGCUGAGAUUCUUUGGACCUUCUGAUAGGAAUGCGGUGUGGAUCCCAUUACACUUUCAGCUGUUCUGAAAGCACUUGAGAAUGGGAUGAGGCUUCUUUCAGUGGUAUGGGCAAAGCCAAUCGCUGCAGGAGCAACAUUACAGAUGCUCCACAAUGUGGAACCAUCUUUCUGUGAUCUCCUAAAUUGGCCUUAUAUAUUUCACAACUUUUACAUCUUUUCUAGUCAACUUCUUUCUAAAUUCUUCUAAAGGGCUCAUCAUCUAACACUAUUCUGACUUCCCAACACUGUAGUAAAGCAGUAAAGCAAUGCCAUAUGCUCAUUUGUUAAGCAGCUUGACAUAAAUAUCCAACCAACCAGAGAGUAGAGAAAUUAAAAUGACAAAGCACGAUAAAUGAUCAAAAAAUAUAGAUGUCCAAAAGCCGAAUGUAGACACAAUUUAAAAUUAGAAGACUCAUCAAAGUGGGAGGGGCUGGAAAGAUUAGUUACAUGUUUAUUAUUGCAAAAACUAGGAACAGCCUAAAUGUCCAAAAGAAAGGGACUGCUUAACUAAACAAUGGUGUGUCCAAACAACGGAAUACCACACAGUCAUCAGAAAUUAGUCAUUCGACAAAUAUUCAUUGAGUGCCUCAUGUACAUGAGGUAAAUGAAAAAGAAAUGAUACCUGCCUUCAUGGUGCUUAGAGUCUAAAUGAUGAUACAGAAGUAUAUAUAAUGACAAAAACAAUUUUAUAUUGCUGGGUGACGUGGUAGGUUACAAUAGAGUAAAUCUGUGUGAAUUAGUUUUUUUGUUGUUGCUGUUGCUCAUAACUUGAAGAUAUAUUUGUUCUGUGUUCACACCUUGCCUUGAAGAUGUUUAAGUUCAGCAUUAACGUCAUAGGAAGUGGUAAACUUCAAUCACUCCCUUCCUUAGGGACACUAGGAUAUUGAAAAGACUAAAAUACUGAAAGACCUAAUUAUAUGUGUAUAGGAAGAAUGGAAAAGCUGGCAUUAUUUCAUAAAAGUAGACAUCCAAGUGAGUUGGUCUGGCAAUAUUAAAUUUUACAGAAGAAAGUAAAGUUGCACAUUCAAAUUAAAACUGAAAAGUAUUUCAAAAUUCAAAAAUUCAAAAAAUUUAAAAAGUAAUUAAAAAUUUAAAGUGAAAAUGAGGCAAGUACAAAUCAAAUAAAGAUUAGUUUGAAUUCCAAUUGAAACUAAUUUUCAGAUAGCUCUUUGAAAUAUAUAUUCCCUGUAAGCAUACAUUAUUUUAAAGUAUGAAUUAAAAGUCUUCCACUGACCAAUUACAACACAGAAGUAUUGUCUACUGAUGCACUUUUUAAAAGAAAAAAGUCAGAAAAAGAAAAGCAAAGUCAAGUACGCAAAGAAAAAAGAGAAUGAAAUUUAAAAUCAUGAAACAUCAAUAAAAAGGAUGUCUAUCACUCUGGGUUACCCUGUUUUGCAUAAGUCCUGAAGACAUAACUAACUAGCAAGAACAGAAGCUCUAUAAUUUCUUAAGGUAAAAAAUAAUAAACUAUAAGAUUUAUAAUAUUCGAACUUCUUUACUCUUCAAAUUCUUAAUUUUUAGAAAUGGAGAGAAACUUCCUCAAAUUGAUGAAGAGCAUCUAAAAAAAGUCUAUCAUUAAAAUAGUUAUUGUUGAAAGACUGAAUGCUUUCUCCCUGAUACCACGAACAAAGCAAGGAUGUCUGUUCUCACUCCUGUUAUUCAACAAAGUGUUGGAAGUGCUAGCCAGGGCAAUAAGGCAGGAAAAUAAAAUUAAAAGUAUACAGAUGGGCCAGGUGUGGUGGCUUACGCCUGUAAUCCCAGCACUUUGAGAGGCCGAGGUGAGUGGAUCACUCGGGGUUAGGAGUUCGAGACCAGCCUAGCCAACAUGGUGAAAUCCUGUCUCUACUAAAAUACAAAAAUUAGCCACAUGUGGUGGCACACGCUUGUAAUCCCAGGUACUCAGGAGGCUGAGGCAUGAGAAUCGCUUUAACCCAAGAGGCGGCAGUUGUAGUCAGCCCAGAUUGUGCCACUGCACUCCAGCCUGGGCAACAGAGCAAGACGCCAUCUCAAAAAAAUACAUAAAAAUAAAGGUAUACAGAUGAAAAAGGAUUGGUUCCUGUUUAUGAAUGACAUGAUUGUGUAAAUGGAAAAUCUCAAGAGAUCUUUAAAAAAAAAGGACCUCCUAAAACUAGUGAGUCCAGCAAGAUAACAGGAUACAAGAUUAGCAUACAAAAUAUAAUUUAUAUUUCUAUGUCCUAGCAAUAAAUAUGUGAGCACCAAAGUUGAGAAUAGAGUACCAUUUACACUUACUGAAAGAUGAAAUAUUUAGGUAUAACUCUAACAAAACAAAUACAGGACUUAUGUGCUGAAAACUAAAAAAUUCUGAUGAAAAAAACCAAAGAAGAUCUAAAUAAAUGGAGAGGCAUACUGCAUUAAUGGAUUGGAAGACAACAUAGUAAGAUGUGACUUUUCCUUAACUUGAUACACAAGUUUAAAACAGUUCUUACCAAAAUCCCAGCAAUAGAUUUGUAGAUGAAGACAAAUAUUCUAAAAUGUAUGUGAAAAUGCAAAGAGACUGAUAUAAUGGAAGCAAUUUUGAAAAAAAGAAUAAAGUAGAAGGCAUCAGUGUACCUGAUUUCAAGACUUACUACUGUAUAUAGUUAUGGUAAUCAAGACUGUGGGGUACUAGUGAAGAGACAAACACUAGAUCAAUGAAACAGAAUAGAGAACCCAGAGAUAGAUCCACCUAAUACAAAUAUGUUCAAUUUAUUUUUGACAGUUGCAAAAGCAAUUUCACGGAGGAAGGACAGACUUUUCAACAAAUGGCCAGAGCAACUAAACAUUCAUUGGCAAAACAAACAUAAAACAAAACCAAACCAAAAAUACCCACCUUUACCUAAACCUCACACCUUAUACAGAAAGUAUCUCAAAACGGAUCACAAACUUAAAUGUAAAAUGUAAAACUAUAAAGAUUUUAGGAAAAAAAGUAAGAGAAAAUCUUUGGGAGCUAGAGCUAGGAAAGAAUUCUUAAAGUCAACACCAAAAGCAUAACGAGUCAAGGAAAAUUUGGUAAGUUUUGUUCUGUGAAAAAUCUUUUGUUCUGUGACAGAUUCUCUUAAGAGAACGAAAGAACAAUCACAUGUUGGGAGAAAAUAUUUGCAAACCAUAUAUCUAACAAGGAUUUCUAUCUAGACUAUAUAAAGAAUUCUCAAAACACAGCAGUAAGAAAACAUUCCAAUUAGAAUAUGGGCAAAAGACUUGAACAGACAUUUCACUGAAGAUGACAUACAGAUGGCACAUAAGCACACAAAAAGAUGUUCAACAUCAUUAGCCACCAGGGAAAUGCAAAUUAAGGCCGCAAUGAGACAUCACUAUACACUUAGCAGAAUGGCUAAAAUAAAAAACAGUGACACCACCAAAUACUGGCAAAGAUUUAGAGAAAUGGACCAUUUGUACAUUGCUGGUAGACAAGUAAAAUAAUACAGCCCCUGUUGAAAAUAGGCAGUUUCUUUAAAAACUAAACAUGCAACUACCAUAUGACCAAGCAGUUGUACUCCUGGAUAUUUAUCCCAGAAAAAUAAAAAUUAUAUCCACAGAAAACCCUGUAUAUGAUUGCUCAUAUCAGUUUUAUUCAUAAAUAACCAAAACCUAUAAAAAACAAAUUAUCUUUCAAGGGAUGAAUGCUUAAACAAAGUAUUGCAUAUCCAUACUAUGGCAUACUACUCAGCAAUAAAAAGGAAUGAACUAUUGAUACACACAACAGAGAAUCAUGCUGAGCAGGCGAAAAAAAGAAAAAACCUAUCCCAAAAGUUUACAGUAUGUGAUUCUGUUUAUAUAACAUUCUUGAAAUGACAAAAUUAUAAAAAUGAGUAUCUAGUGGUUAAGAAAGGGGGAUAGAGGAAAAAUAGGUGUAGCUAUAACAGGGCAAUAUGAGAGAUUCUAGUGGUUAGGGAAAUGUUCUGUAUCUUGAUUGUAUCAAUGUUAAUACCCUGGUUGAUAGACUGUAUUAUAGUUUUUUAAAAUAUUACCAUUUGGGGGAAUUGGGCUAAGAAUACAUGAGAUGUGUCUGUAUCAUGCCUUACAACUGCAUGUGAAUCUAGUUAUCUCAAAAUAAAAAGGUUAAUUUUAAAAAUACAAAAAGGAAUGAAUACGCUAGAUUAUUAGUGCUAGUUAGGGUGGGGUUAAUUUUCUAUUAAGUCUAAUUGGGUUUCUACAGACAACUGCUGGUGUAGCUAUCUCCAAUUCAAAUAACCUAAAAUUUUAAUUUGAGAACUACUCAGAUUCUAAUUUAAACCUCUGGGUGCUCCCCUUUUCUAUGUGGCAGCUUCUGCUGGUAUAUGUAACCGCACAAAAGCCAAACAAAUGUAUAACGCAUAAUAAAAAAACCAAAACCCUUUACACAAUGUCAAAGUGGAAAAUGAAUGUGCAAAUAUUAGAAACAAAUACACAUGUAUCUACUCAUGGAAAGAUCAAACAAAAGCAUAAACUAUAAUAUUUUUGUAGCAGUGAAAGAGCAAAUGUUUUAAAGAAGAAAACAAUCUUGUUUAUCUUAAUAUAUUAAUAAUGUCACUACAUGGAAGGAAUAGGAAAAAGCAAAGGACAGGUAUUUGGCCCCGAGUUACAAACUCCAAGCAAAUAAUAAUCAAAAUAUUCUGUCAACUUUUCUGCAUUUCUUUGUGGAAGGUAAAGUCUAAUAGUUGCUUGCAGCCAUGCUUACUUUUUUUCCAUUCAUUCAUUAAUUCAUCCACAAGAAUUUUUGGAAGUCUAUUAUCAGGUACUUUGCAGUUAGAGAGGCAAGAAGAUAAAAUAGAAAUGGUUUCUGCUAAUCAUGUUUUUAUGAUUUUAUGUUUUAAAUAAAUGGGCUUAGUUUAAUGUUUUGUAUAUAAUGUUUUGGGACAUAGUGUUUUUAACUUAUUAUAACUUAUGUAACUAAUCCCUUAAUGUUGGGGCACAUAUAUGUUUUCUCAACUUUUCAUAAUUAUAAUUAACACAGAGCAGUCAUAACUGACAAUAAACUAGAAAUAAAAAAGACAAGAAAAAUGAAAAAAUACUUAAAAAUAAAUGAAGUCUUACAAAACCUCUCAAUUCAAAUUGCUAAUAUGUGCAAAAUUAGUAACUGAAGAAUAAUUUUUUUUCUCUUUUCCAAAUUGUUGUUUAAACCUCAACCUCUUGACAAACUUGGGUUCUAAUUGUUUUUCUGUUCACUAAUCUUUUAGGUUAACUCUGCCCUCCGCCCACACUGAACUACUUUCAGUUCCCCUAACUGACCAUAUUCUUUUUCCAGGGAUUUGGAUAUGUUUUUUCAGUUUAGAAAACUCUCCCUACACAACACUGACAAAAUCCUAAUAAAUCUUUGGGCUUCAAAGACACUUUUUAUGUAAAACCUUUGCAGGUCCCUCAGAAGCCUGAGUGAAGUAUACCUUAGUCACCCUGUAAUUAAUUACUUCACCAUAUUACAAUGAUCUGUUUACUUGUCUGUCUUCCCCACUAGACCCAAAGCUCUUUGACAAUGUUUUGUUCACUAUUUAUCCCCAGCGCUGAGAAAACAGCCUGACCCAUAGCAGAUGCUACUCUAUAAAUACCUAAUGAGUGAGGAAUGAAUGCAUGAACAAAUAGACUCUUAAGCCUCUGGCCUAGGAAGAUGGGCAGCUCCUCAUUCACCCAGAUGACUGGAUCUUGCUUAUGAACACGGCCAACAACAUAAGGCAGCUCUCUGAAAUAUAUGUUAGAGCCUCAAUCUUUCCACUGCUAUACAAUCUAGGAACUUAGGCACCUUUCCAGAAAACAACACCUCAUCUAAGAGGUGUCUCCUGAGAGCUACUCUUGGAAGCACCGAAGUCCUUUUCACAAAGACUGCAAGGUCCUUGAAAAGAUACACUGUGUAACUUCAGUGUACAAUGAGCAGCUGGGAGUGUUUUGGGCGAAGUUGGUAUAAAAGGGUGCCUUUAAUACAAUAUUUAGGUAGGUUGACCUGACUGCCUAAUUUAUAUGACGAAAUAUUAAAGCCCUGGGUACUGUGAGGAUUUCCUAGUACUAAAGUUUGUCCUUAUGUUUCCAUCUUUCUCAGUAUUGAGAUUACAAAUCUUGGAACACCAGUUCUGAGGGAGCUUGGUAGUCUUCCCUUCAACAAAGGCUUUAAGACACAGGACAUAUGCCUUGUUUUCUCAAGUCUCAUUUCAGAAGAUUCUUCCCACUGCAAACACCAAUGCUAUUUUUUUUCCCUCCUGACCUUUGUCAACUGUGUUGCUGUACUGCAUUUGGAAGUAUUACAAUGGUCAUUACCUGCCCUGUUUAUUCAGUGUUAAGUAUUAACAAGGCCUGUGCUAUCUCAGCUGCUGUCAUAUUUCUCCAGAAAAGAAAUGCCUAUGUAAAUGUCCUAAUGCAAACAAAAGACUCUUUUUCUAGGUGGGGGUGGCAGAAGACUUGGAGACAAUUGAAAAGAUGGAAGAAAACAGUAGAUAUUUUAAAAGAACAGUUUUCAGAAAUAUAUGAAAUAAUUGCACCAUGAAAUCUAAUUUGAGGCUGAUUUUUUUUUUUGUUUGUGCAUUUGGUCAGUUCUGGCCUGGUAUUUGCUCAUAUUGAGGCUAUAAAGCACAUAUUUCUGGAUUUAUUUAUAAUGACUUCAAAUAGUUUGAUAUUGAGCAAAAGUGUAUAAAUAUAUUACAGAAUAAAGAGAAAAAGUAACCCUUGGCAUCAAACUCUCUUUGUUUAGGGUUUACAUGUUUGGUUUCUUGUGUGGAACAGCUAUGUCAGAGUGGGUGGGAUCCUGUUUCUGAGGGAAUGGAAGAGUGCUGACAAUAUUUUCUUGAGCACAAAGAAGGGUGAAGAGUCUUAUUAAAACUCCUACCAGAUACUGCUUGUUGGACAGUGAAAUUGCAAAACUUGCAAAGAGGAGGGCCAAACACCAUGCAGAACAGAUCAAAUACAAAUUAAAAAAUUGACUUGGGGAAGAAAAAUCUUUCACUAGAGUCAGCUUUUCUGUAGAAAUUGGCCCGUUCUCAUAAAUUUACCUAAGUUUGUGCUUGGGUCAGAUGACAAAGCAAAAUUCCAUCCUCUGAUAGUUGCAAAAAACUGCCAGUGAAACAAACUGAAGCCAAAUACAUACUUCCUAGAUGACAUCCGAUCCAGAGAAACAAAGGUGUAGGUCACUUUUUCAUUUUUAAAGUACCCAAGGAGUUACAGAGAGAUGAAAAUAGACAAUACGUGGAGAAAAGAAGACUGCUUCUCUUCUGUAGCUAUAGCCAUAUGAAAUAAAACAACUGUACCUGCUGGGACUUACAAAUAUGUGUGUUAUUUAGGAGAACGGGCUCUGGAGUUACACUUGCAAGCUCUGAAUCCCAGUUUAACCAUUCCAUUACUGUGUGAGCUUAGAUAAGUUACUUAACUAUUUUUAAUUUUCUACCUUUUAGAAGUGAGUAUGGACUACUUAAGCAAUAGAAAUUAACUAGGGCUGGAAAAAAAGAAUGAUUUGCUGGAAGUACUUCAGCAGCAUAACCUUUAUGUAAGAACAAAUAUCAUCAUUUAUUGAGGGCCUACCUAAUGUGUGCCAGGCAUUUUGGAUACACUAUUCUAAUCUUUAUACAUCCCUGCAAGGUUAAUACUAUUAUUCCCAAUUUAUAAGGUUCAAAGUAGCUAAGUAAUUAGAUCUACGUCUUGAAGCUGAAAAGUGGCAAAAAUAUCUACCCAUAUUCCUUACCUAAUUUUUUUUCCUUAUUUUUAAAACAAUGACCCAAGAAUUUCUCUUCCCUCUCUGAUUCCUUUUUCUCCAAUCCUACUCAGGUCAUAACUGCAUUGGGAAUCUCAUUUCUUUCUUCUUUCUCUUCUUUAUCCAGUUUAACGUUCCUGAAUCCACUCACCAACCUCCCUUCUUCCUCCGCUUCCUGGUGCCACUGAUCCCAAUCCUUCCUCCAGUUUUGUUUGGCUUAAGUCCUGUCCUGAAUCCCACUGCCCCAUCAGGUCCACCCCACUCCAUCAGCACUGUCAUCAUAAUGAGAGCAAAUACCUAUUAGCACUUUUCUACGUGUCAGGUGCCUUAUGAGAUGGAUACCAUUAUUAUCCCCAUUUUAGAGAUAUGGGAACUGGGACACCAAAAGGUAACAUAGCCUACCAGGACACAGAAGUAGCAGAGAUGGAGUGCUAACCUCAACAGUCUGGCUCCAGAGUUCUUGGUCCAGCCCUACUCUAGACGGUGCCACAGCCCUGGAGGGACCCAAGGGAAGUUGCAAAUUCCAGCAAGUGAGUGUGAGCAUGAGAGAGGAGGACCUGUUUCAAAUAGGGGUAAAUACAUUCUAUGAUGUGUGAAACCAAAUUGCUUCCCUUUUGUUGUAAAUAACAUGUAAAUGUAUACUUUUAAAAUCACUAUGGGUAAAAUGUUUUUUUAGUGGGUUAGCCUAGGAACACUGUUUUUAUGGGAACAUAAAUUCUGAGUUACCCCCAAAAAACUAUUGGAACAGCCUGUUCAUAAAUUGAAGACUUCCUUUAUUUCUGUUUGGGGUAAAGUUAAAGUAAGGGAAAUCGGAAAAAGGAGGAAAGUAAGACUUCUCAUUAUUUGUAGAUACAAUUCCUGCACAGUAGAAUGCAAUCUGGAUAAUACGUCCCAACUUUCUAAGUGUGCUAAAAAUAAAUGUAAAUGGUUCAUUAGAGCUAAUCUGGCAGCCAAAAGUGAAUAUUAAUAACAUGGAAGAUCAAUAAGAUGCCCAGCAAAGAACAAUGUAUUAACUUGGUUCUAGAAAUAGCAAAAUGUGUGUAGGCCAGACAAGAAGCAAUGGGACAGGAGGCACAGUCAGAAGAAAAAUUCAUCUCUUCUUUAUAAGAUUCAAGGAAUUGAGAAUAGACAAAAUAUGCCCAUCUCUUUUUCCCUCUGCCCACUAAAUAAGCAGUUUAAUCAAUUUUUACCUUUCCUUCCUUGUCUUCAUCUGUCACUACUAACUCAAUAGAAGAAUGUAUAACCCUAGUUCAAAUACAGGUCAAGAUGGCUAUUAUAAAUAUUAUGAGCUUAUGCUGUGACUUUCUCUCUCAGUUCUUAUGUUGUAUACUCUAUUCAAGUAAGGGACAGCACAGAGUAGCUUUUACCCAAAGCAUAUUCAGUGAAGAAAGGGGUUCCAUGGUCAAAUAAAUCUGAGAAAUGCUGCAUAAUAAUCCCCCUUUUAAGAUAUUGAAGGCUCUGAGACAUCUUGCAGGAAAGACACCUGUAUAAUAUAUGGAACCCAGGUUUUCCCAAGCCUUUUGACCAUAUAAUCCUUUUUACCUAACCCCUAUUCACAUCUUUGUGCAGAAUGAUACUGAGAACUCUGAACCAGGAAGAGAGCAAAUCAAGUUCCUAUCUUAUUUUCCUGUGUGAUUUAGAGAAGUUGCCCAGCUUCCCUGGACUUCAAUUUCCUGAGAGAUGGACCACAUAAUAGCUAGACGUUCUGUCCAGUCAUGCAGCUCUAAGGGUAUUUUCAACCCAUGUGCUUCCAUGGCCAUCAUCAAUGCGCAUGGAAGCUGAGGUCUGUGGAUACACUCUUGGUGAGUGAGCAUGUGCCCUCCUGCUAAGCCCACCUCAGAAGCGACUUCCAUCACCCAGGAGCAGCCUAGACAAUGGAUCUUUUACACAUCUUCACAUUCAGUCCUUUAUGCCCAAGCGAAGUACUCACAUUGCAAAGGCUAUUUGUCAGGGGGAUAUGUGGAGGGAGGAAAUUUGCAGAGAAUUGUUAAAACAAGCUUAUAUUUGUUCUUUCAAAUAUUUGCUGGCAUUCAGACAUGGCUUUUAAAAAAGUUUCUUGUGCUUUUUCAUUUAAAUAUGCAAGUUUAAUAAACAUAAUUCACCCAAAACAGAGAAAUGAAGCAAAUUCUUACAACUGAUUCUUUAGGUCUACACUCUUAGGCCACAUUCUAAGAUGUUUUCACUUGAAAUGCUGUUAAUUCUGACAUUUUAACUUUUUCUUUUGGAAAAAUUAUCAUAAGCCAAAGGAUUGUCCCUAAUAUUGAAAAUAUAUUACUGUCACACAGUUUCACAAAAUUAUUCACCUUUUACUUUUAUUUACAUAUUACUCUCCUUUAAAACAGUGUGGAAAGUACUACCUCUCUACAAGUUGAAACUGACUUUUUACUUUCUUGUUUUUAUAGCAAGAGCAUAUUAAUGAUAUAACAGCAAUAGCUAACACUCAUCUACAUGCCUAGUAUGUGACAAACAUUAUUCUAAGUAAUGUAUAUGUGUGUAUCAAUCUUAACAACCUUAUAAAAUAGAUACUAUUAUUAUCCAAUUUUCAAGAUGUGGAAACUGAGGCACAGAUAGGAUAAGUAACUUGCCAAGGUCACAUACCAGUAGUAAGCAGCAGAGUCAAGAUGGAUGGAUUGAUUGAUUUUUUUUUUUUUUUUUAGAGACAGUGUCUUGCUCCGUCGCCCAGGCUGGAGUGCAGUGGUGCUAUCACAGCUCACUGCAGCCUCAAACUCCUGGGCUCAAAUGAUCUCCCUGUCUCAGCCUCUGGAGUAGCUGGGACUAUAGGUGCACAUCACUGUGCCUGGCUAAUUUUUAAAUUUUUAACAGAGAUGGGUGCCUCACUUUGUUGCCCAGACUGGUCUCAAACACCUGGCUUCUGGCAAUCUUCCCACCUUGGCUCCCCAAAGUGCUGGAUUACAAGCGUGUGCUGGGAUUACAGGCGUGUGCUGGGAUUACAGGCAUAAGCCACUGAGCCCGGCCCAGAGUCAAGAUUUGACUCCAGCAGUCUUUGCUCUUAAUCACUCUGCUAUUCAACCUCUUGCUUAAAUUUGUAAAACAAUAGAACCACCACCAAAAAAUAUAUAUAAAUAGCUGAGGAAGAAAUACAAUUUGGAGUUACAUGAAGCCCAUAAUAUAACUAAAGAAAAGGGAGUAUCUAACCUCUUGGUUCCACUUAGAUCAAAGGAGAAAGGCCUGACUUACACUAUGAAAAACACUGGUUAGAGACGUGAAAACAUAUCUUCUCUGUUCAAUGCCAUGAGAUUGGCUCACCUGAGUAGGCUGCAGAAUCUUCUUCCCAAAUGCUUAAUAACAAAAGUGAGAGAACCAUCCAAAAUAUUCUGAAAAAAAUCUCACAGAAGUUAGGAUGGGCUAAAUUAACCAUCCUCAACCCCAUUACUCUUUCCUAAGAGUACUCGAUGGCUAUGUUUCCAAAUUAUUCAAAACAUGUUCCCUAAUGUGUUAAUGGGGGAGAGUGAGGAAGCAGAGACAGAUUAAAAAGACUCAAGAGAUAUAACAACCAAUGUAAUGUGUGGACUUUGUCGGGAUCCUGAUUGACACAAACCUACUUGGAAAAGGCUGUUUUGGGACAAUUGAGUUAAUUUGAUUAUGGGUUAGGUAUUAGAUGAUACUAAUAUUGUUAGGCUUGAUAAUAGCAUCAUUGUUAUAUGAGAACUCUCCAUUUUUCUGAGAAAUAACCUAAAGUAAAUAAGGGUGAAAUGACACAUCUGAGAUUUUUACUUUGACAAAAAAGAGGGAGACGACAGAUGAACUGAGUAUGACAAAAUCUUGGUACUCAGUGUAUCUGAGUAAUGGUAUAUGAAGGGUCAUUCUCUUUGUUUUUGCAUAUAUUUGACAAUUUUCAUGAUAGAGUAUCUUGAUAAAGAAUAUGGAAAGAUUUCUGUCCUGAUGAAAAUAAUUAUGAUAGAUAAAAUUAUUUAAAAACCUGCUAGAGAAAUGCCAGAUACACACCUGGGUACACAGUUCACUUCCCCUAGGACUGAGGCCAGGAAAAAGAAUAAGAAAUAAAGGGAAGAGCAUAGGGCAACCUGGACCAGAGACAGACAGGAAGACAAGAGAAACACAGCCACGGUGCCAACAUUGUUUCAGGAAGAUUUUACAACACCAGCUGUCAGCUCUAGAUAUACUGUUGCCACUUUCGACUUCAUCUAGAAGUGUCCUUCUACCCAAUGCUCUCAACCGCGAUUGAAAAAUACUACAUAAAAUGAGUCUCGGAUCUCUGCCCACCUUAUGUGUUUUGGCGUUUAAAAACCUCUCCCAUGGAUUGGCUCUCAGUCCUUAGGGGUACGUGGUUUCAUUACUGAGGUAUGCCUGUGUGCAGGAAUGUGUGAGUUUGUGUGCAUGGGCAGCUCCUCCCUGAUCACUGUGGCUAUGUCAUAAUGCACAUCCUUGUCUUUUACUCAUUGGGUUAUACCUAACAGCCAAAUUUGUUUGUUAUUCCAGGUGUGCUUAACAUACGUCAAUCUUCAAGACAACUAAUAUCCCUUAAUGAUUAGGAACCUCGAUUUUUUUUUCCAAGAAAAUAACCAUAUAACUAAAUCAUUAAACUUCCCUUAAGUGCCUUAUUAGAGGCUCAUCAAAACAUAUAUAUGUGUGUGUGUGUGUCUGUGUGCAUAUACACAUAUAUACAUCUUUAAAUUUUUAUUUUACUUACUUAUAUAUAUUUUUGAGACGGAAUCUCACUCUGUGGCCCAGGCUGGAGUGCAGUGGCGUGAUCUUGGCUCACUGCAACCUCCACCUCCCAGGUUCAAGCGAUUCUCAUGCUUCAGCCUCCCAAGUAGCUGGGAUUACAGGCAUGCGCCACUACACCUAGCUAAUUUUUGUAUUUUAGUACAGACGGGGUUUCACCACGUUGGCCAGGCUGGUUUCAAACUCCUGACCUCAAGUACUCCACCUGCCUCAGCCUCCCAAAGUGCUGGGAUUACAGCCCUGAGCCACCACAUCUGGUCAAAACAUAUAUUAAAAUGCAAAUAAAAACCUUUACGACAGAAAGAAACAUUGAACAAAUUAGUUGGUUGGACUCAACAAAUACUAUUUUCUAGCCUCCUCUUUCCCCCUACACAAAGACAGCCACUGAUACAUUUUGUUGCUAAAAAUGCACUAGCUUUUUGCUUUUGAUCACACUCUAUGGUAAAUUUUGCAUCCCAGUUUUCUCACCUAACAUUAAAAUAUGGGCAUUUUUUCCUGUUCUAAUUCCGCAUAAACACCCAUUAGUAGCUGGAGAAUAUCCUGUUAAGUACAGACAGUAAAGUUUUGUAAAUUUUCCCCUACUAUUGAACAUUAGAUUGUUGCCAUUUAUUUAAUAUUAUAAAAUAAAUAAUGCUUUAUAUGUGCAAUACUUUCUUAUAUAAUUAUGUGUGUUUCCAUAGUACUGAUCCUUAGAUCAUAAUUAAAAACUAAAUUAAAAACAGUACCUAGUAGUUUACCUUAACACAAGAAAGAAAAAUAGUAGAAAAAGGAAAAAAAAAAAAGACAGGUUCUGUUGAGCAGUGAGUUUGCACUGGCUGAGCCCAAUGUCCCGACUCUAUUAUCUGUGACUCACAUGGCGUGCUUGAAGAAAAAUAUCCCCGUCUUGUUGCUUCUUGGUAGCCCAUGGCAUUAUCCUUUAUCUAACCCUAGUUACUUCUCUGGGAUGUUUCUUGCUCCAGUUGUUUUCCUCAUGGUGUAACAAUGUGAAUUUGCAGUCCUGACUGUUCUCUUUAGAAUUUCAUCACUUCUUUGCUUCCAUUGCAGUUUGCUUGCACUUCUAAUGCAGCACUUCCUUCCCCUUCUCCCGUGGUAUACUUUAGUUGUUUGCACUCUGUCUGCUGAGAUGCUUUAACUCAUCUUUUAAUCACCUACAGUGCCUGGGAUCGUGCUCUGCACAGAACACUGCCAGGCCAUUAGCAGAUUUUCAUCAAAUUAUUAACAUCAUUCUGUUCUUGAGCAGGGUAGUUCCCUUCAAGUUGCCCUCUGCCCUACCCAGUGCUUAAAAACACCUCUCUCGUUCGCGUCUACAAAUUUAAUGAAUGUGUUGUUUAUAUCCUUUCCCAGAUAAUUAAUGAAGAUGUUAAAUAAGACCAUGCUGAACACUCGUCCAGAUUCAAUACAUUGCCAUUUAUCAUUACACUUUCAGUCCUUCAGGCAGUUUUCAAUCAAUUUGACACAUUCAAGUCAAUUUGAAUUCAUUUUCUGAACUAGAUUUCAUGAGACCUGCUAUCAAUUCUUCCAUUAACAUCUGGAUGUAUUUAGAUAUAAUAAUAUAUCUAGUGUAUUCUUUUUGUCCACUGUUUUCCAAUUUUCAAAACAAAAAAUCGAUUAAGUUGGUAUAACAUGAAAAAGCUUUAUAGAUUUAUGCUGUUUGUAGCUCUUGGCUCUAAUACCUCAUAGAUGUUCACAUAUUUACCCUCUCAAAUGUUCUAGUAUUUGUUAGCAAUGUAGUUUUCCUAAUUCACUUAUUUAUCCAACAAAUGUUUAUGGAAUACUUAUUAUGGGCAAGUAUUAUGUUUGGAAUAGGUUUAACACUAAUUCUAUUUAGAAAUUAAUUAUUCAGGGGCUCUUGUUCUGUGAAGUGUACAGGACAAUGUCUCUCCUAAACUAUUUUUCAUUUUAUUUUUACUAUACAUUAGCAACACUGGAGCAUAGAUGAAGCAGGAAGAAGAGAGAAAGCAUGUGUGGCUUCUAACUGGCAGUUCUGAUAAAGAGGUUCCUGGGGUAAGGAUUCUGAAAAAAAAGUGGCUAAAAUAAGACAAGAGAAUGAAUCUGAGAUAUCUCUGCCAAUGAUACUCUGAACAAGUGAGAACUGGAUAUGCAGUCUUUACUCCAGUGUCUGUCUGUCUGUUUCUCUCUCUCUUUCCUCCCCAUCUCUCUCCUUCUCUCUCUCUCUUUCUCAUUAUUCUUCGUGAUUCCAAAGGAGAGCUACCAUAUUUUGAGGAAUUCAUUAUUAUUUCCAUUAACACUGGCUAACACAUCAUCUAAGAUCUUGCCUAUUUAUUUGUUUUCUUCUUUUUUUAAUGAAACGGGUCUUCAUUACUGUUUAAUUAUCCUUAUUUAUCUUCUUAAAGGCCAGUUUUAAAAAGCAGUUCCAAAGCUCAGCCAUUUUGCCAUCAAUAGCUCAGACAUUUGAGCAUAAUCAUUAAGCUUAUCUCCCUAUUCAUUUAAUGCUAGGCCUCCUUUAUCUCUAGUAUGCUUUCCUUUCUCUUCUUUAUUAUGUUUGUAUUAUUACCCUUUGCACCACUGAUCGCCAUAAAUACUUCUUGGUUGUAACUCUGGAACCUCUUUGAUGAUUCAUGCUCUCCUGUGAGAGUCCUAUAGACAGACUUGAUUUACUUUCAGCUUUCUCCUUUUUUUCCUUCUAUUUUUGCACUGUUGUCAUUGUCACUUUUAGACUGCGUCUGGUUUUUACAAUGAUGUCCAGUCUUCGAGGUGAAACCGCUGACCUUGAGUAAAGCACCUGCCCCAAUUCUGCAAGGAAAGAGACAGCCAGGCCGGAACUCAAAACUUAGAAGACAGAGACACAGAGAGGGAAUGAAAGCCACAGAGAGAGAAAAUGAAUCUCAAGAGGAGGACAGGACUGUAAUAAGCCACAUCAUGAAGUUAGAAUCUUCCAGCAGAAGACUGAAAUACUGUAACUGACAGUAACUGACCAUCUGGAACACUAUAAAUGUCUUCUUUACUUCUUA